rnacentral:lncRNA from 1 species
CUUCGCCCAUCCACGCGCAAAGACUUCGCUCCUCUGUACUGCCGCCGCGCCGCCGCAUCCUCGCCGGAGCCGCCUUCUUCUCCGUCCGCCGCCGGAGCCGAGGUCCCCUUCCGGCACCGCCGCCGCUGCCCACGCCGACCUCUUCUCCUGCCGCCGCCGGAUCCUACCAUCUGCCAUGGCCGGCCCCAUCCGCCGCGGCCAGCGCCAAGGGCGGCCCCUUCCGCCGCCGCCGCCGCCGCCGCCACCACCAUCGCCAUCGUGCACUCACCGCUGGCGAGCCGACGUCCUCCCCAUCCGCCGCCGCCGAUGGAGCCGAGGUCGUCCCCAGCCACCGUUGCCGCUGUGCACUCCACCGCUGGCGAGCCGACGUCCUCCCCAUCAGCCGCCGCCGAUGGAGCCGAGGUUGUCCCCAGCCGUCGCCGCUGCCGUGCACUCCACCGCUGGCGAGAGCCGCCGAACUCCACCGCUGUCACAGGAUUGGUGAUGGCUAGGCUGAGCUCGCUCGCAGAUGGAUUCGCAUACUAUGACAAAUAUUCCAAGAGCAUCCACCAAUGGAGGACGCAUAUAUGGUGGCAGAAAGAAUUCUAUUUAGAAAGAACAAUGAUCGCUACAAUGAACACUAUGGCAAGGUACGGCAACAAGUAUGGCAACGACUCUGUCCCUCCUGUGAAUCCAUCGGCUAACCCCAAUCUGGAGCUCUGCAAAGCAUUUCCAUUUCUCAGCGUUUCUUGUUUACCACUUUACCAAUAUAUAAUUUUCAAGUUUCAGAAGCUUCUUGAGAUAUUAUUGAGAUAUUAUUGUGAGUUUUACCGGCAUGUUCAUACGAUGGAGAGGAUAGUGCUUCAUUCUACAAAUUCAGAGCAUGAAUUAGCAAAGCUGAUCAAGAGCACACUAGUUUCCACAAUGAAGAAGUCUGAGGUAGUCAUGGACAUGAAGAAAUUUGAUUGCUAUCGUGUCACUGUUUCUUCAUCGUCGGGAAGAUCGGUCACAAACAAUGCUACUGAUAAUUUUAUCGAUGGCGUCAGCAAACAAAUCAUCGGUUUCCAGCAACACAAGACGGAGAUCAAUGAUCUCAAGAGGCAGAAUAAGGAGCUGUCGAAGCAGAACAAGGAGCUGAUGGAUCAGUACCAAGAGCUGCCUUCUCUUCGAAAAAAGUAUGAAGAUCUGACCAAGAAGUAUGAAAAUCUGACCAAAAAACGGAACGAAGAUCUGGCCAAGCUCAAGAAGGAGAAGGAAGAUAUGGAGAAGGAGAUACGAGGGCUUCGGGAGAGGAUCAAAGAGCUAGAGGAACAGGUAAUUAGUUCUUCUUCGUCAGGAAAAUCGUUAACAAACAAUGCUGCUGAAAACAUAAUGGAAGGCAUCAACAAACAAAUCCUUGGAGCUGAGCAGUACAAGAUGGAGAAUAGAGAUCUUAAGAGGCAAAACAAAGAGCUGUCGAAGCAAAACAAGGAGCUGAUGGAGCAGAGCAAAGAGCUGAUGGAGCUGCCUGCUCUUCGAAAAAAGCACGAAGAACUGACCAAGAGGUAUGAGAGCCUGACUAAGAAGCGAAACGAAGAUCUGGCCAAGCUCAGGAAGGAGAAGGAAGAUCAGCAGGUCGAUUUCAAGAAAGAGAAAGAAGAUCUGGAGAGGGAGAUACGACAACUUAAGGAGGAGAUCAAACAGCUAGAGUGUUGUUGUGUCAUACUAUGA